UUAUUGGCAUUAUUGUUAGAUUUAGAAUUAAAUAUUUAAUUUCAUAAAUUGUUAUGUGCUUUACUGUUGGGAGUAUGAUUAUGACUUUGAUAUAGAAAGUUGAUUUAUUGAUUUUUAAAAUCCGCGUGACUAUAGUCUAGGCCCCGCCAAUGGGAUGAUACGUUGGCCCUGUCGACUUGUACUGAGGAGCUAGUUCCGACACCGCGACCACCGAUGAUAGAAUAGUGGCGGCAC
rnacentral:lncRNA from 1 species